GAUGAACGCUAGCGGCAGGCUUAAUACAUGCAAGUCGAGGGGCAGCAGGGAUGUAGCAAUACAUUCGCUGGCGACCGGCAAACGGGUGCGGAACACGUACGCAAUCUACCCAAAACUGAUGAAUAGCCCUCCGAAAGGAGGAUUAAUACAUCGUAACAUAAUGAAGUGGCAUCACUUUAUUAUUAUAGCUCCGGCGGUUUUGGAUGAGCGUGCGCCUGAUUAGGUAGUUGGCGGGGUAACGGCCCACCAAGCCUGCGAUCAGUAACUGGUGUGAGAGCACGACCAGUCACACGGGCACUGAGACACGGGCCCGACUCCUACGGGAGACAUCAGUAAGGAAUAUUGGUCAAUGGACGCAAGUCUGAACCAGCCAUGCCGCGUGAAGGAUGAAGGUCCUCUGGAUUGUAAACUUCUUUUAUAGGGGACGAAACCUCUGUUUCUACAGAGACUGACGGUACCCUAGGAAUAAGCACCGGCUAACUCCGUGCCAGCAGCCGCCGUAAAAC
rnacentral:rRNA from 1 species